CUCUAUACAGCUCUGCUCUCUCUGCUCUCUCUCUCUCUCGUAAGCCCUAGAUUUCUCUCUCUGCUCUCUCUCUCUCGCGUUGAAGCUCGCUUUCUCUCUCUGCUCUCUCUCUCUCACGUCUAAGCCCUAGCUCUCUCUCUCUGCUCUCUCUCUCUCUCGUCUAACCCCUAGCUUUCUCUCUCGGCUCUCUCUGUCGCGCCGAAGCCCUAGCUUUGUCUCUCUGCUCUCUAUCUUUAGAUGAAAAAGAUGUGAACAAGAUGAUGUUGUAGAUUCGAUAUAGUCUCCCUAUUCGAGUUAUCUCUCUGGUUCGCCUCUCUAUUCGAGUUCUCUCUCUGGUUUGGACACGAGAAACAGUCAUUUGGAGCCACAAUUUCUUCGAAUUUCAGACGGCUAUACACAUCAAUUUGGAGCAAAAAAUUAGGUUGUACGGCUUAUGGGAUGUGCUGCUUCACACAUUACAUUAGAGUGUGCUUUACAAACUCAUCCCAACAUUACCCUUAUUGGAGAAGAGUGUGCAGAUGUAGUCCACUUUCCAUGGUUGCUUUCACUUUCUUGAACAGUUAUUACCAACUAAGGAUAGGAUUGAUUAUCACCAGUUCAUUAGGAGCAGAAGAAUCAGAAUUUCUAUGAUUCCAGUCUACAACAAAGCUACUUUCUUGGAUUUUGUACCGUGGAUUUUGCAGCUACUUUCAUGGAUUUUGUACAGUGAGGUGGUUUUUUGACAAGUGCAGACUGAAACUCAAGUGCUAGAAGGUUUAUCAAUUUUUCAACAGAAGUGUUAAGAAAUUGAUGAUUUUCUUGACAAAUGGAUGUACUUCCUGUUUUGGAACAUUGAUAAAUGAUGAAUUGUAAAAAUGUUUUAACUCUUUUGAUAUAUUUAAUUGGAUAUGUAUGCUUUUUGAAUUGAA